UAAGUGAGGAAGCAGUGGGUACACCUUGAUCAUGAAGGAGGUUUUCGCAGAGUGAUNCUCAACCAUUGACUCUGACUUUACUGUCCCCUGUNAUUUCCCCAAAUGCAGGAAACUGGACUGCAUAAUUUGUGGUAGUGGGAGACUGCGUGUGUGCUUUCCCCUG
ensembl:snRNA U1 U1 spliceosomal RNA